rnacentral:rRNA from 1 species
UGACAGUACUCCUACGGGGAGGCAGCAGUGGGGGAAUAGUUGCACAAUGGGCGCAAGCCUGAUGCAGCCAUGCCGCGUGUGUGAAGAAGGCCUUCGGGUUGUAAAGCACUUUCAGUCGUGAGGAAGGUGGUAGUGUUAAUAGCACUAUCAUUUGACGUUAGCGACAGAAGAAGCACCGGCUAACUCCGUGCCAGCAGCCGCGGUAAUACGGAGGGUGCGAGCGUUAAUCGGAAUUACUGGGCGUAAAGCGCAUGCAGGUGGUUUGUUAAGUCAGAUGUGAAAGCCCGGGGCGUCAACCUCGGAAUAGCAUUUGAAACUGGCAGACUAGAGUACUGUAGAGGGGGGUAGGAAUUUCAGGUGUAGCGGUGAAAUGCGUAGAGAUCUGAAGGAAUACCGGUGGCGAAGGCGGCCCCCUGGACAGAUACUGACACUCAGAUGCGAAAGCGUGGGGAGCAAACAGGAUUAGAUACCCUGGUAG